rnacentral:rRNA from 1 species
CCUACGGGGGGCAGCAGUGGGGAAUAUUGGACAAUGGGGGGAACCCUGAUCCAGCCAUGCCGCGUGUGUGAAGAAGGCCCUCGGGUUGUAAAGCACUUUCAGUGAGGAAGAACGCCUGGUGGUUAAUACCCAUCAGGAAAGACAUCACUCACAGAAGAAGCACCGGUUAACUCCGUGCCAGCAGCCGCGGUAAUACGGAGGGUGCGAGCGUUAAUCGGAAUUACUGGGCGUAAAGCGCGCGUAGGUGGCUUGAUAAGCCGGUUGUGAAAGCCCCGGGCUCAACCUGGGAACGGCAUCCGGAACUGUCAAGCUAGAGUGCAGGAGAGGAAGGUAGAAUUCCCGGUGUAGCGGUGAAAUGCGUAGAGAUCGGGAGGAAUACCAGUGGCGAAGGCGGCCUUCUGGACUGACACUGACACUGAGGUGCGAAAGCGUGGGUAGCAAACAGGAUUAGAUACCCCGGUAGUC